CGGCAUGGCAACUCCGGCUAUAACUCCUGUCAGCUGCUGCUGGGAUGAAAGCAAAGCUACCUCUCACCAGCUGCAGCUCGCCCUCAACAGAGAGCUGGUCUAGCCACACAGCACACAGACAUCCGUCUCUCCUACUUCGCCCAUUUUCCAGCCUUUUAAAAGUACGAAAACCACUCUGGGACUGCCAGCCAUUGAAAAACGAGUCCUAUCUGUGAAAGGGACCGCAGCUCAAGUAUGGAUUUCUGGCUACUCCACAGGAAGAGGAGGAAGGAUCACUUGAGAAGAUAGCAAGCCGCCUGUAUUUACAAAGAAAUCAAACUGCAGGUAAAGGGGUGGCGCUGUGUCAGGAAGAUCUCAGGGAUUCAUUGAAAGGGGAAGGAGGAGCCCAGCAGAAGGACGCUAACUAUUAAUCCCAAAACUUAGGAGGCAGAAGCAGGUUCAUCUCUCGAGUUUGUGGCCAGCUUGGUCUUCUAGGACAGCCAGGGCUAAACAGAGAAAAUCUGUCUUUAGGAAGACCCCUUUUCUUGGCCCUUGGCACUUCCCAGAACUUCCUGGACACUUUCCAUCUCCUUCCCUAAACUGUCGCAGUUUCUCCACUUGCUGCACAAGUUCUGGUGCAGGGCUAGCAGGCGUGCAGGGCUCGCAAGGCCCCGCUUGGCCGCCAGAGGGCGCUUAGCCUCCGCCCGGGGAAAUAGCUGGCCAGGCAUAUUGCAUGUGUGUUUAAGUGUGUGUUCUUUAAAUACGGCGCCUGCAUCUCGGGGCCUCUCCCCCAGCAUGUUUCUUAUCCUGUUCGCAUCUAUCUAAUAGAGAAUUUAGCCGAGGCUGGGAUGAGGUUAACUUCAGCGCAGGUGGGACGAGCAGGGUUUAUGCACCAACGCAGAGCGGUUUCGUAACGCCCCCGGCUGAGGUGCCCUAGACCGAGUUGGACCAACGAUUAUAGGGAGGACAUUGUGGGGAUCGCGACCCCAGAGCUUUACGUAGCGAAAGUUAUGAAAACCUCAAGACCAGUGCCCUCUGGGAGGUCUCUAGGGACACCUUAGGAGUUUCCGAUUGAUAACUUGUUUCAGUUCUUGAAAUUAAAAACAAAGCCGGGCGUGGCUGUGCACUCCUUUAAACUCCGGAGGCAGAAGCUGGUAGAUCGCGGAGUUUGAGGCCAGCCUGGUCUACACAGCGAGUUCCAACACAGCCAGAGCUACACAGAGAAACCCUGCCUCGGGUGCUCAGGCGCGGGGACUGGGGGCAGGGACUGGGGUCUGGGGUACAUCAGCAGCCUAGGGAGAUGUCUCAGUCACAAUUCCCCAGCAGGAAGCUGCAGCACGUUGGAGUCUCCUGGGAUUGGCAGAGUUAAAAUCAUUCAACCCAGGAUGCCCUGGGCUUGUUUUGUUUUGUCCAACUCUGACAAUGGGAUUAGGAACGGGGUAGAGAGGGCUAGGAAGGCAAGAAGCUGUGCUCGGAUGCAUCCUUAGGGUGGGGGUGUGGAGAAGUCGGUGUUCAGUCACUGGGUGUAUAUAAAGGAUGCAGCCCUGUCUGUGAGCAGUCUGUGCGGUGUGUUCCGGAAAGAUCUAAGUGUGGCAGAGGGCUAGAGCUCAGAGCUAGCGGUCUAACCCAUGUGUAAGAGUGAGUGCCUUCUGUGCGUUCAGCAAGUCCUUAAUUACCCAGGGAGGCCUUCUGAAACCGGAACUCAGUAUUGGUCCCUAAAAGGUUGGGUAAUGGGUUUUCCUUACUUCUGAAAUCCAAGGGGACCAAUCUCCAGUUCCCCAGGGCUCCCAGACUCUUCGGGAUGUCUUUGUCUUCUAAAAUCCUGGGCUCCCACAAGAGAGCACUUAGUUAAGGACACAGAGAUGCUGCUUACCCUUCAACCUAUUAAUCAUCCUGAAACCUUUGCUAGGAAUUUCCUGCUCCUUGAUCCAACCUCCUCAGCUGCGCUGCUAACUCGGACCUAGGAAGGGAAUGCUUAGACUUGCACACCCCUGUCAAUCUUCCAUUUACCCCGCCCAUACUCCUGUCCACAGCCAGCCCCUAGGGAUGCUCUGGCUUCCCUCUCCAGCCCUGCAGUAGCCAUCCUGAGAUGGCCCCAUCGUCACACCCUGGGUUUCAGUGUUACUUCUCCGGUGAGUGUUUAUAUCAAAUCCAGUGUGUGCACAGAGUGCCCCAGGCCAGCACCCACCUUUCAGCACCAUUUGGAGCUGUGAGCCUCACACAAGCUAGGAAGGCCCUCUACCAGUGUACUACAACCCAAGCCUAGGAUUUAAAAAAUAUUUGUGGGAGGGGGGAGGGGGAUGUUUGCCCGGAAACUGGGAAAGGGAAUAACACUCGAAAUGUAUAUAAGAAAUACUCAAGUUAAUAAAAAAAAAAAAUGUUUGUGUAUGUCGGCUUUAAGGGUCGAAUAUCAGAUAUCCUGCAUAUCAGAUAUUUACCUUAUAGCUCCUAACGGCAGCAAACUUACAGUUAAAAAGUGGCAACAGGAAUAAUUGUAUGGUUGGGGGUCACCAAGCAUGAGGAACUAACUGUACUAAAGGUUGCAGCUUUGGGAAGGUUGAGAACCACUGGUAUAUGUAUUUAUAUGUGUAGGUGUGUGGUGUCUGUGUGCUCAUGUGGGUGCAUGUGUACAUGUAUGUAAGUACCAGAGGAGGCCAGAUCCACAAUAUUCCUCCAGCACUGUCCUCUGGAGACCAGGUCCCUGUGAGGAUCACCAUGGACUGUCAACUUGACAGAACUGGAUGGAAUCACGCAGGAAGCAUGCAUACCUUAGAGGUAGUCUUGAUUGACAUGGAAGGUUUCGUGGUUCUCUGGGCUUGGGUCCUGGGCUGCAUAAACAGGAAGACGCUACCUAACCCUGAAUAUCCAUCCCUUUCUUUUCUUCGCUGACUGCAUUAGCAAUGUGACCAGCUCCUUGAAGUUCUGCUGCUCCCCCACCGUGGUGGAAGGGUAAAUUAAUAUGUUGCUUUUGUCAGGGUGGACUGUCAGAUCAUCAAGGCAAGGAGACCUAGCGAUUCAGCCAGGCCUGGUGACCAGUGAGCUCGAGGGAUCUCUCUACCUGUCGCCAUCCCCCCAGGCGGUGACAGAUGUGCUGUAGCAAUUUUAGUUCAGUGGUGGGGAUCAGAACUCAGGUCCUUAUGCAUGCGUGGCACGCUCUUUCCCAAGUAAGACAUCUUUCCCUACUUCUGUAUUUUAUAUCUUAAUAGGAAGAGCAGAAUAGAUACGAAGUUAAACUGUUUUAUAUGAUGGUGAGUAUAUGAAGAAAUUAAAGUAGGCUGUAUAUAAUGAGUGGCCCGUGCCUGAAAUCCCAGAGCUUGAAGGUUGAGGUUGGGAGAUUGAGAAUUUGAGUACAGCCUGGGCUACAUGGAAAUUCUGGAGAAUGGGAACAGGGCAGGAAAAGGUGGGGGAGGUGAAAGGAUAAGGGGAAAGGGCUAACCCACACUAAUAUUAUAGGACUAAGGUGCAAUGCUGGUCUGGAAGAUGCCCCCUGUGACCUUACCAGCAAGAAGAUAGCCGUCAAGAUCUGUGGAGAGAUGCUCCAACAGAAGAAACAGUAAGGACACAAGUCCUGAGGCAGAAGUUACUGAGAGGAAAUCGGGGGCUGUGGAUGGCGCUGCACUUGGUUUUACACUGUGGGGUAUUGUCUGAACAGUGACCAGCACCUGUAGUCCCAGCAUGUGGUCACAUCAGUUUCUCAGCCUCUUACCCCAAGAACCACUCAGGCCACGCUUAAACACCUUUACCUUCUGCCUGGCCCAGUCCCAGCACGUGGAAGGCAGAGGCAGAAAUAUCCAGAGUUCGAGGGCCUUGUUACUUGCACAUACAGCUUCUCUUCUGGGUGUUCCAGGGCACAGGGCACCUUUAAUGCCAGGGACACACUGGAGGGUUCUUGAGUUCUCUGCUUCUGUGUUCAAGUCCUAAACGGUAACACCUGCCGGCACCUAUAAACUGUAGCCCUUCGGGGUAGCAACAAUGUCACCAAGAUAAGCCACAAUGUUUCCCUGACUCUUGGACUCCAGGGCCAUGCAUCAGGCCAGAGAACUCCAAAGCCAGGGAGUGCCUGGGGGAAUAAAUCCAGGAAGGAGACCCUAGGCAGGCAGAGCUUUAGGCCUAAUGUGUUGAAUUCAUUAGGUUCCAAAUCUUUACAGCCUUGCCAAGCCCUGUGGGGAAAGAUCAGCUGCAAAGUUCUCUCAGGAAAGCACCAGGCGCUGAGCUGGUCCCAGUCUGACUUAGAAGCAGUUAGGGGUCAGAGUUGUUUCAGGUUGGCAUAUUGUUCUUUGCUCAGUCUAGGGGAUAGCCAGCAGACUCUUGCAGUCAGUGCCACCCUUGCCCCUGGGCUGUGCAGAAGUGAAGGCAGGACACAGGGCUGAGGAGGAAACCGGAAGCACCUCCCUCCCACGCUGCAGGACAACCAUACAAAGGGCCUCCUCUGCGGCCAUGCAGGAUGGGCUGGGCUGGCAGGGGAGGGCUGAGAUUGUCGCCCAGUGCAGGGCCAGGACAGCUGCAAAUGAAACACAGGCCUAGAGCACUCAGGGAGGCAGGCAUCCAUCUUUCCCGGAGCCAAGAAAUCCCGGCCAAGAGCUCAGCUCCAGAGCGAGGAAAAGCACCAGGCAAUACUUGAAACCAAGCAAGCCCCCUGGAAAUGUUGGAUUCCUGACAGGUAAAGAGCCAAGCCAAGGGCUUUUUUCCUGCUGGCCCAAGCACAAAAGCCAAGGACUCUGGAGAAGUGGGAGAUCAGCCUGGAGGGGACUCGGCAAACAGAAGAAAGCUCUUGAGGCCAGAAAAGAUUCGCCCCCCUCAGAUCCCAAUGCUCAUAUCCAGUCAGUGUGGAGGAAGGGACACUUGGUGUCACAAACCUUCAAGGCCACCUCCUGGUGGAGGCUCCAGCGACAGGCGCCAUGGCAGUGUGGUAUGUAUGGGGCAUGGUUACAAGGCCCAGUGUCCACCUGAGGUAGGGUAGUGUGUAAGGAAGUGGUUGAUACCACUCCCAUCCUGUGGAGGGAGUGACCCCUAAAGUAAGGUUGGAUGUAGCUUGAUUGAUUCUUUGUUGUGUUAGAUUUCUUUUUCUUUCUCCUGAGACAGAGUUCCUCUGUGUAGCCUUGGCUGUGCUAGAACAUACUCUAUAGACCAGGCUAGCCUCAAACUCAGAGCUCGGCCUGUCUCUCUGCCUCCUGGGUGCUGGGAUUAAAGGCAUGGGUCGCCACCAUCUGGUUUAGAUCUUGUUUAUUUUUUUAAUGCUAGGGGUAGUACCGUUGGUUUCAAAUAUGCUAAGCACACAUUCUCAAUGAAGCUUCACCCUUGGUGCCUGGGGCUUCAUCCCAAAGGAAUCUAUCUGCACAGCAGCACAUGAUGGGUAAAAUCAAUGAACACACAAAGGAGUGUGCACUUUUAUCUCUAUUACCUGUCAUGUGGAGGGAGGGUACUUUUCUAACGUUCUAAAAUUAAGCUGGACAUGGUGCCCUGUGUCUGUAAUCCUAUCCCUAAGGAGGUAGAGGCAGAAGGAUCGGGAAUUCAAGGACAGCCUGGACUGUCUCAAGAAAAAAAGGGGGGGGGCGGGUUUCUAAAAUUAAAGAAUAAAAGAAUUCUAUGUGAGGAUGGGCUCGCUGUCUCAAUCCUCUUUAUUCUUUGCUAGAUCUUGAAGAAAAAGAUAAAAAGGAAAUAUGCGACAAAAUGACAGCUUUUAAAGAAUAAUAGAAAGAAAAGAAAACUCUUCCUUCUGAACAUAAGAGUAGCACAUGCUGUAUGAAAAGGAAUUUGGGGGUCAAAGGUCACCUGUCAUUUGUCUCCCUGAAGGCACUGAUGUCACAUUUCCUGUACAUGCAGAUAGAUUUUGGGGAGGGAGGAGUUUGAGACAGGAUUUAUCUGAGUAACACUAGCUAUCCUGAAACUUACUCUGUAAACCAGGCUCGUCUCUUGGAACUAAAGGCAUGUGUCACCACCACACUUGGCUCAGGUAAAUGUUUUUACAUGAGAUGGAGCUGUUAGAACGAGGGCAGGAGGCAUCUCUGGAGAGCCGUGCUUGCCAUGAGCCUUCUUCCUGCCCCUUUUUCUGAACGUAACCCUGAGCUGGCCUGGUCUGGCCUGGCCUGGCCUGGUUGGUUGCCCUUUGUCCCAAGAGAGGAAAGGUUACUAGUUGGCUAGGUAACCUGGUGUUAAUUGUUAACCUGACAGAAUCUGGAGUCACCGGGGAGCUGGGGGAGUAGGGGUUCUUUUGAUUCUGUUCAUUGGUGUGGGAAGCCCUGAGUUAAUUGUGGGUGGGACCUGAGCUAUGUAAGUAGAAAAGGAGAGUUGAGCAUGAGUGUGCACCUUUGCACGCCCUUCCUGGUCAUGGAUGGGACGUGAUUAGCUCCCUCAGGAUCCUGCCAUGGAUGUCCCUGCUAUGACAGGGUCUAACCUGGAACCGUGAGCCAACGCCAAUCCCUUCUCCCUUAAAACAGUGGAUGAGAAUGGGCAGAGAGCCACCUUCAAUGUCUGCUCUGUCUUGGUCUGUAGAGGCAGUGACCCUGCUCAGGAAAGAGAUCACGGGCCUGGGGUUGUAACUAGGUGCUGAAGUGCUUAAAUGAAGUGCACAGAGGGCCCUGGGUUCACUGCCGCCGCCCCCCUCCCACUGUUGUAGAUACACGGAGGUGGGGAGGGACAGAGAGCAAGAAGAGAGGAGGGAGGAGAGGCUCCUGUUUCUUCAUUCCCAGAAUCCACCACUCUAUGAGUUCCUGGUGGGCAGAAUGGUGUCGGUCAUGUUUGGUCUAACUCCAGUUGAACACGGUUGGGGAGAUUCUCCUGGGGAUAGAGUCCUGACCCCACUGUGGAGUACACUAGGUGUGACAGUAGUUCUAUUCCAUCCCUCCAUGCUGAGUGCCCUUUGUGGAUACCCACAGAGCCACUUGCUUCUUGGGGUCGAGAGCCCAGUAUCCCUAGUGCCUCCUCCCCACUCCCGUCUCCUGUGUUUGUGUCCAUCUAUCCUGUUGCCCUUGCCCUGCACCUGGCCCCAGAAUCCACUUACUUGAUGAAACUCUUAAAACUGAGUCACUGAAGCAAUGCUUUAGGGACUGGGGCUUCACACCAAGAGCCAGCCCCACCAUGCCAGACGUAUGAAUGUACCAUCCUCAGCCUCAGGUCAAGCUCAGAUGCCUGCAGCUCCUGAGAGUCUCCGAACCAGAGCUGCCAAACUGGGUUCUGGAAUGGGCCACGCACAGAAACUGUGAUGUAACACAGUCCACUCCUAACAGGCACAGUGAUGUACAACCCAGCUACUUAGGAGCCCCAAGGCAAGAGGACCGUUUACGUCCAGGAGUUUGAAGCCAGCCUGCACGACAGAACAGCACCCCAGCUCGUUGAACCGCUUAAUUUAGGGCUAAUUAAUUACACAGUAGAGAGGAGUGAACUCUUGAUUGCUACUGUUCCUUCUGGGGUCAGUACGCCAGGAGAAACCAUCCAGAAAAGAAGAGGCCCCAUGAGUUAGGUGGGGGUACAGUGCUAAUAAAAGGGCCACUUCGCCCCACAGUGGGCCUAGGACCUCGUGAACCAGUCAGUCCUGAGGCUUAAUGCCAGUGUGUGCUUCAGAAGGGCUCAGAAGGGAUACCUGGCCCCAGAGAUGCUCACUCAAGGACUCGGGUGACAAAGCACCAACGUGGAUCAUGUGGCUCAUGACCUAGCGCAGGCCCUGUGUCUGGAGUGAGCUGAGGACUGUGUUCUUGAGUAGUUGCUUGUCUUGUUGCUAUGACAAAACUGACAGAAGCAGUUUAGCGGUUGAAGGGUUACCUUUUGCCACGGUUUCUGGGGAUACCAUCUACCUAGUAGGGAUGGUUGGGCAGUAGGAAAGAUAUCAGCCACAUUACGUCCACAGUCAGGAAGCAGAAAGCCAUGGAGGUUCUUGCUUAUCUAGCUUUCUCCCUUUUAUGCAAUCCAAGACCCCAGCCCACAUGAGGGGAAGGGUUCCCACCUAAUCCUACCUAGAAAAUCCUUCACAAAUACGUCCAGAUCUUUGUCCAAGAUGUUCUCAAUUCUGUCAAGCUAGCAACCAACUGAACCAUGGCCCUUUCACUACACGAAGUAAGAACUGGGGGGAAGCAGCUUGGUGGUGUAGUCCUGGCCUAGGAGGCCUGGAUUUUGUCAGCCUUUAUCAGUCUAUGAUUAACCCUGCCCUUCCCAUGAGGACAAGCAGAAGUACCUGCUGUGUGGCCUCCUCCUGAGAGCUGACCGGACCAGCACAAGACAGUACAUUUCUUCUGCUAAUGGGAGCUCAUGUCUAAGAUGUCUUUACCCCUCCCCUCUCUGUCCCUGAGGUUCUGGGAAGUCAGCCCUCUUCUCAGUCUCUAGGCUUUCCUGGUUGUUUCUGAGGCGGAGCGCCCCAGAAACAGGUGGCCACAGGGCAGCUGAGAAAGAGGAAGCAACCAGACCGAUGCAGCCCAAACAGGCUUCUCAGCCAAAGACGGGAAGACCCCUCAGAGCGAGCAGACACCCUGGGAGACAUGGGAUACCUGGAGGUGGGUCUAGGCGGGUGGGCCUACCCAUGGUCUUCUUUCAGUGCCGGCAGUCACCGUGACCCUUCCCCUGCGCAGGAAGUUUGCUACAAAACACAGAUUGUUUGCACACUGUGGACUACUUUGUUUCAUUUUUGCUGUCUUCCUCUCUUUUGGUUUAUUCAUUUCUCUGCUGGGUUUGUCACUUAAGAAGUCAAGGUCACCGGCCUCCCCAUACCCACGAGUGACAAUUUCCAUUUCCAACCCUCCACCGGAAGCAGUGCUGCGCUUGGGUUGGAUGUUACAGGGGCUCUGCAGAGGCCCCAUAGAUCACGAAGGAAAUGAAUCAGCCCAGUUGCUUUUGGGUUUUCUUGUUGCUGCUGCCUGUUUUUCACAAGUCUUUCCUGAGCAGUGCCUUUCAUGUUAAACAUUAACAUCAACUUCCAAGUCCCAAAGAACAUUGCACUGCUCCGUGCACUGCCCAGAGGGUGAAUAAAGAAACCCACGAUGAACGAGUUAAUUCUGAGCUUCUUGGACAUCAUUAUACCAGGAUGCGUGUGGUGCUGCACGUCUUCAAUCUGAGCACUGAGAGGCGGAGGACGGGUGGAGCUCUGUGAGUUUGAAGCCAGCCUGGUCUACAUACAGGUCCUGUGAUGAUCUUUCCAUUGAUGCUAUCAACCAAGGAGGAACACCUUGACUUUCCUUAGGAGUCUGUUGCCCCCCAAUGGUCGCCAGCAGUUCCCGUGGUCCACGGGACAGCCAGCAUGAGGCCAUGUGAAAUCCAGCCUGAGACUGUGCCUUCUUCCUUGGCAUGAGGGUGGUAUCUGCUGUGGCCACUGCUUUGGUGACUAUCUUCCUGCCAAGCGCCUCCAGCUACCUCCUUCCACCUACUUGUGCUUCUUUCUCCUUUCUGUCUCAUGCCAGCUCCCUCAGUGGAAAGACUGAGUGUCCUUAAAGGAUCCUUCCUCAGCCCCUGACACCCAGGAACCUACUCAGCUUAAAAACAGCCUUCUUCAGCCUGCUGCCUGCUGCCUCCUCACCGAGAACUGGAGGCUUCCAACUAGGGUGCCUCCCCCUUAACCCACACAUCCUUAGGCGACUGAGCCUGAGCGGAGUGAAAGGUUCUCUCUGACAUGGUUAGCAGAGGCUCAGAGCUUACAGAAGUUACUGACUAUACAGAAAUGCCAUGAGAACGGCAUGCAGGAAGAACCAAUUACAGGGUGGCCUGGGGGCUCUCUCCCUGUGUGCACCCGGCACACUGAGAGGUGUCAGUGUAGUGGUAGACAGUGAUAUAGAUGAAGAUAUCAGCUGAGAAUGAGGGGAAGAGGAGGCCUACUGAGCACAUAGAGAGACACUGUCUAAAGUUAAAUAAAUAAGUCCUAUUCAUGGUAGUACGCACUUGUAAUUUUAGAGCUGGGAGGUAGAGGCAAGGUCUGUCCUACCCACAGCAGUGAUUUGAAUGGGAAUGGCCCUAAUAGACUCCUGUAUCUGCACACUCAGUCCUCAGCUGGAGAACUGUUUGAGAAGGAUUAGGAGGUGUGGCCUUGGAGGAGGAGCGUAACUAAGGGUGGGCUUUGGAGGUUUCAAAGCCUAAGCCAGGCCCAUUCUUUCUCCCUUUCCCUCUCCCCCUCCCCCUCCCCUUCUCUCUCCCUUUCCCUCUCCUUUCUCUCUCUCCCGACCUACAGAUCAGAUUGUAGCUCUCCUCUACUACUGCUCCAGCACCAUACCUGCCUCCUCGAGGCCAGUGUGCUCCCCACCAUGAUGAUGAUGGACUAACCCUCUGAAAUUGUAAGCAAUGCUCCGAUUAAAUAUUGCCCUUUAUAAGAGUCGCCUGGGACAUGAUGACUCUUCACAAUAAGAGGUCAUCUUGAGGUGAGAUCACCCAUGUGAUGAGUUCAAGUCCAGCCUGAGCUACAUAAGACCCUAUCUCAAAAUGGAAUCAGCUACUCAAACACAUGACAUACGUAGCAAGUGUCUAGAGUCCAGCCCACAGUAAUCUACGAACAUACUCGUUUCCUAAAUUGUAGUGUUUUGGGGAUGAGAACUAUCCCCUAGAGGCUCAAGGAUUUGAACUUGGUCCCCUGUGGUUUUGGGGUCAUUUAAGAUACAAAGCCUCCAAAGUUUUGGAGGACGUAUGUCACUGGGGGUGGACUUGGAUAUUACAUAGGCUCACCCCAUCCGCAACUCACUCUCCUGCUUUGUACUUGUGGUAGAGAUAUGAGCUUUCAAUUUUCUGAUCCGGCCACCAUGCCUACCUGCUGUCAUGCCUCCCAAUGAUGAAUUCUUACUCUCUGGAACAGAAGCCCAAAUAAAUUCUUCUCUCUAUAAA